CANUCUGCCCUUCACUCUGGGACAAGCCCUGGAAACGGGGUCUAAUACCGGAUAACACUCUGUCCCGCAUGGGACGGGGUUAAAAGCUCCGGCGGUGAAGGAUGAGCCCGCGGCCUAUCAGCUUGUUGGUGGNUNAANNNCCUACCAAGGCGACGACGG
rnacentral:rRNA from 1 species